GAGAGAUACUGAAGGCAUGACUAGGGCUGGCUCAAAGUUUCCUAAGGCCUCUGGGCAACAUUGUUUUUUUUAAAGAAUUUUCAUAACAAUUUUUUUCCAAAAAAUUAGUACAUUUAUAAAAUUAUUUUAUCUGAUAAUUUUAAUACGAAAAUAGUUACAAAAUAUACAGCACAAAAUUUAGUUUAAAAAUGUACAUAUUUAAUAUUUUUAAUAAAAAAUCUACUUUAAAAUAAACUCAUAAUAUUA
rnacentral:lncRNA from 1 species